rnacentral:rRNA from 1 species
GAUGAACGCUGACAGAAUGCUUAACACAUGCAAGUCCACUUGAAUUUGGGUUUUUAACUUAGGUUUGGGUGGCGGACGGGUGAGUAACGCGUAAAGAACUUGCCUCACAGCUAGGGACAACAUUUGGAAACGAAUGCUAAUACCUAAUAUUAUGAUAAUAGGGCAUCCUAUAAUUAUGAAAGCUAUAAGCGCUGUGAGAGAGCUUUGCGUCCCAUUAGCUAGUUGGAGAGGUAACGGCUCACCAAGGCGAUGAUGGGUAGCCGGCCUGAGAGGGUGAUCGGCCACAAGGGGACUGAGACACGGCCCUUACUCCUACGGGAGGCAGCAGUGGGGAAUAUUGGACAAUGGACCAAGAGUCUGAUCCAGCAAUUCUGUGUGCACGAUGAAGUUUUUCGGAAUGUAAAGUGCUUUCAGUUGGGAAGAAAGAAAUGACGGUACCAACAGAAGAAGUGACGGCUAAAUACGUG